ACUGUAGGGGGUAGAGCACUGUUUCGGCUAGGGGGUCAUCCCGACUUACCAAACCGAUGCAAACUCCGAAUACCUACAAGUGCCGAGCAUGGGAGACACACGGCGGGUGCUAACGUCCGUCGUGAAAAGGGAAACAACCCAGACCGUCAGCUAAGGUCCCAAAGUUAUGGUUAAGUGGGAAACGAUGUGGGAAGGCUUAGACAGCUAGGA
rnacentral:rRNA from 1 species